AUCCAACCGAAACCUGGUUCCCCGACUCCCAUCCUCCCUGCCGGGCAGGAAUUGUUUUCCUAUUACAUCCUUCUCUCGCACCUUCCCCGCUUCCCGCAGCAGCCUCCACUGUCCUCACCGUCCCCAUCCUCAUCCAUGGCGAAAUCCUCGCCCCCGGCCUCAUGAAGAUCCAGCACGUCCGCCAUCUUGCCUCCCUUCUUGCUCUCGUCCGUGCCGCUCAGGCACUAGGCACCUCGGGAAACUGUCGCGGAGGGGAAAGGUCGCUAGUCAAGUUGACCAAUCAAAAGCUAAGUCUAAGUCCCGCCCCCGGCGCAGCGAAAAUACGCAAUGGAGGCGGGCCUUAUUCGGGAAGAUGCCGGAAGUGUUCCUGUAGCCAUCUUGAGCAAGUGGUCAGCUGAACAGAGUGGCACUGUUAGGGACAAGGUAACGGGUGGCUGCAGGCAGUGCCCUAUUAAGUAGGGCAGCCGAGGAGAAAUACUACUGCCAGCGGAGCACAGCCGAAUUUCUUUAUUAGAGGAUUGUGUACCGUCUCCUUGGACUCCGUACCAAAUGGAAGUUUGAAGAACGUUUUUUCUCUCAAAACUUCUAGACCUGUAUCCUGCUCUGAAGAGCAGCUGGAUCUGUGAUGGAAACAUUUUAAAAAUAGUUCAGUCCGUAAUGCUGGGUACUGAAGCUGUUUCUGGCUCGUACUGCAGCACCGAAUAUCUCUUAACACUAACAGACCUGGUUGUCCGGGAACUAGCAUUGGUGACACGGGUGUCAACUUCUUAAAAUUUUUUUUGUUGUUAUAAUUUUUUUAAGAUAAACUCUCAAACUCUUCCCACCACCUCUGGGGAUUAAAAAACAAAACAAAAUCAUGGCUUUGAACAAAAUGGGGGCUUUAACCUCUUUGGGAAUGGUGCGUGUAUUUCAUGUUUAAAAACCUAGGCGUUGAAAAAACAAACAAACCUAGGAGUUGAGGCAAAACCCAUAUUGCCCCCAAAUUCUGGAAUCCUGAUGUAAGUAAACCUUUAACAAUAGUGGACUGCAGAUUCAUUUAUUUAUUAAUUUUUUAAUCAAGCCGUUAUGUGACUUUAAUAUUAGAGAAAGUGUGGGCAAUACAAGGCAAAAUAAUCUCAUUAUCAACAAUCACUUUAUAACUACAUUAUGAAAGUGAUAAUUGCUACGACAAAGUGUAAUGGCAGUACAAAGAAAGUUUCUAAUAGGACUGGGAGUAAGAAGGGCUUCCAUUUGAACUGGGCCUUUAAGGCUGGGUAGUUUUCCAGGCCACGCAGCUGUACUGAGAAUAGGAGACACUAAUCCAUUCUCCACAGUAAGUAGUGUGAUCCUUGAAAAAAAAUCAGCUGGUCAUAUCCCUAACAAAACCCUUCCUUGACUUUUUCACUUGGGAAUAAAAUUUGAACUGCCUACUCUGCCUAUUUACAACGACCUCCAUUACCAUUCUGCCUUCUUAUUAAGCUCUCCCUACAUUUUCCCUCAACUGUGCUGUCUCUUUCCCACCUCAGGACUUUUGCAACUUUCUGUUCCUGAUGCUCUUAUUCCAGCUCUUCACAUGGCUCAUUCAACUUCAUCCUUUAGGUCUCCCUAAAAUACUACUUUCUCUACUUUCCUGUCCUUCACUCUUGUUUAUGUCCUUCACAGAACUAGCUUACUACCUUGUUUACUUUCUGACUCGUUUAUUGUCUGAAUUCCCAUUAGAGUGUAAUCCUUAUGGCAGAGACCCUUAAUUACAACAAUAUCCCCAAAGUUUAGACCAGUGUCUAGCUCACAGUAGACAUUUGAUACAUGCUUAUUGAAUGAACAAAUAUCAGAAUGGCAAGAAAUUGUUUGCCUGAUGCUGUGUGGCUAGGAAAUAAAGCUAGAAGUACAGGUUAGGGCCAAAAUGUAUGCCAUGCUAAGGAUAUUGAAAUUUUAUCCCGUAGGCAAGAAUUUCUGUACUUCAAGUAUUUGAGUAUUCAUGAUUUUUCACAACUGUAAAUAGUCCCCAUGCUGUUUCUUGAUUAGUGUUUCUCCUUAUGUAGACUGACUUUUUAAUUAAACAAAUUUUCACUAAAUUUAAAUAUCACUGCCAUAAAUGUAAAAUCUGUAUUUUUUUCUACUACAGUUUCCGAUUAAAAUAUAAAAUAAGUAAAAAUGAAAAAUGUUUGCCCCUCUACCACCUAAAAUCAUCUCAGGUAAUACCAAGGGUUCCCAUAUAAAACUUCGGGGAAUGCUGUUAAGGACAAGGAUAGCUAAGUGAUGGUUUAAGCAAGGUAGUGGUGCACUCCUAAGUAUUUUAGAAAGAAAUCUGACAGUAGUUGAGAGGAUGUUAAGAAUGAAGGCAGAGGCUGGUAAGGAAGCUAUUGCAGUGGUCCAGCCCAGAGAUGAUAAAGGACUGAACUAAGGCAGUGGAUAUGGACAAGACAGAUUAGGAAGUUUAUAUAGGAGGUAAACUCAACAGCAAGUGACUGAUUAGAUCAUGGUAAGGAAUGGACCUAAGGUUCUAAUUUAAGUAACUGGGUAGAUAAUAAUCCUAAUAACAGAUUUGGGGAGUCAAAGAAGAGCAUGUAUGAAAUGGCUUUUAUUUUGAAUAUGUGACUUCAGAGAGCUUGUGUCAUAAAUUCAGGUGGUGAGGGGCACCUGGGUGGCUCAGUCGGUUGAGCGACCAACUUCAGCUCAGGUCAUGAUCUCACUGCUUGUGAGUUCAAGCUCCACAUGCAGCUCUGUGCUGACAGCUCGGAGCCUGGAGCCUGCUUCGGAUUCUGUGUCUCCCUCCCUCUCUGCCCCUCCCCUGCUUGCUCUCUCUCUCUCUUUCAAAAAUAAAUAAACAUUUAAAAAUUUUUAAAAAUAAGAUAAAUUCAGUUGGUGAUGUCAUGGAAAUAUAGAUGUAAAAGCUCAAAAGGGUGAAAGAGAUUGAGAAUGGUGUAUAAGAUAGAGUUGAAGUCACCAUGGUGAGUGAGUUCGCUAGUGGAAAUGGGUAGACCUUGAAAAGAAAGGGUCAGUGACAAAAUCCAGGUUCCUCAAAUGUCUGAAGGGGAAGCAGAAUGCCUUCCCCCAACAGUACAAUCUUAUUUCUGCCACCCAAAAAAUACUAAUCAAAAUUAUCUUUUAGUCUGUUUAUAAAAGAAAGGGUCGUUUUAGAGUUCCUCUGAUACAUAUGUCUUAAGAAAGAGUCAAUCUGGCUCACUAGACAAAAAUCUAUUUUUAAUUGUAUAAAAUUAUACAUAUAAAAUACAUAGAAAGUAGUAAAAAGAUAAGCAAAAUCUUUAACAAUGAAAGUGGACAGAUCAGGGAACAAUUUUUCUCCAGUGCUUUGGGAUCUUAACUGGUUGUUACUUGAGAAAAAUAAUCCAGGAGGUGCAAAGGAGAAGUUCUUCCCACAACUCACACCCCUUCACACUUCUCAGAGAAAGGAGCAUAGGAGAAAUGAGGGUUUAUGAUGUCUGGAUUAUAAAUAUCAAUAAAAACUGGGUAGACAUACCUGUUAUUUAACAUAGGAGCCUCUACUCCUACCCUACAUGUGCUUCGUGGUAUACAGAGAUGGGACUUGGAGAAUUCCAGGAGGUCCCUUUCGAGCACUAAAACAGUUGCUAGAUUCCUUACCACUGAUCCCAUAUGUACUGAUCACCAAGAUGAUUUCAAAAGCAAAAAAGCUGAUUUUCAUCUUAUCCCUGUCUGAUCCAAAAGAGCAAAUUGUGGCUUAUUUCCUAACCUAUUUCUAAAAACAAAGUGUUUAAUCAUAGAAUGGAAAGUCCAAUUUUGCAGAAACAGGAAACGUCCCAACACAUUUUAGAAAGUGCACCGAACUAUAAUAUAGUAUAAAGGAGUUUAUAGAAACAAAGGGAAAACACAUCUUUGAGAGACCUAUAAAAAAUUCUCCCAAAGAGGAAUGCUUUAGCUGUACUCCAGAUAUUUCUCCCCUAUUUCACCCAGGAGAGAGAUUGGGGGUGGGAGGCGGAGAGUCUUAAAAACACAGUUGAUCAUGUAGUCUCUUUUCCCUCCUGCAGUCUCCCCAGGGUUCCAGUUAGGAAGUGCCAUAAUGCCAGUCGCAACUAAUUUUCUUGAUCAACUCCUGCUCUAAUAACCAACGUGGAAGAAGAGGAAAGAAAAGAGAGAAAACAACUGUGAAUCUAUGGACAUCAAAGGUAGCAAACAGCAGCAACUUUGUGAGAGAGGAACACGGCCCUCACCAAAGAGGACAAAUAAUGUUUCCAAAGAGCAACAUGAAGGGAAGAGACAGAGUUGGGAAAUAUGUUUACCUCCUACCCAUUUCUGCAGACAGGAAGGUUUAAACACAGGGCUCAGUGAAGCUGGGUGAGCAGAGAGGAAUGAAGAGGGAAUAUUGGAAGAGGCUUCAAUGCUGAUCCCUUCUGGAGCAAGAACACACCCGGGAAGCUGGUAUGGUAUCUAUGCCCCAGAAGCAACUUAGGUGAUAAACACCUAGUUUUGUGUUUAUAAUUCCUCUCUUCUUCCUGGGAAGUUUCUCAGGAAUAAUUUGAACAAGCAGCUGUCUACUUCCUUCCAAAUUAAUAAAGGAAGUCUCAAAAUGAAGUACCGCUUGGAGGCAGAGGAGGAGUAAGGGAGUGGCGGGAAGCGGUUGGUGGGGAGUCUAGGCAAGGAAAUGUCUAGUCACUGGAGGAACAGCUCAGUACUAAGUAGGCCCAACUCAAGAUAAACUUAAGCCAAAGCCUUCAUACUCGUACCCUGUUUGGAGUCCAAGAGAAAGCAGGAAUGAGGUUGAGGGUGAGGGUGGGGCACACAGACCUUAUUCAAACUCCCUGUUAGAUUAUAAGAACACUUUGUCAAUCAUUUUGUGCUAUUGAAAUGACUACACAGAGCUGGGAGUAUAAGCACCAACAAAGCUCUGAAGACAGCCUGCUCUUUUUACAAAGUGGAAUGAGGAUGUUUCAAAGGAAACUACAUCCAAAAACUAGAAGAAAAGGGAUCUCUCAGCAAAUUGGGAUCUGAGUGUAGAAUUUAUACAUAUACAUAUAUAUAUCUAUAUUUUAAAGUAUAAAAUUGAGAAAGUAUGUACAGAAAUCAUACUAAGUCUUAGAAAAGACAUUAUCAAAAAGAGCCUGGAGAGGAUGGGGAGUAUGUGCAUGGACGCCUAGCAGUUGGAGGAAUGCAUAUUGCCCAACUGCCCAGCGGCCAGCAGGAGAAUAUCUUUCUUCUCCUUGUGGAAGCGCAGCUCCUUGCCUGCCAGCCGAGCUUCGUCCAGCUCCCGCUCAGUAGAGGCCAGCUCUCUAGACAGUGCCCCUGGCACACUCUGCUCCCGGCUCACCCAGUCCAAUGCCAUUUGAUGGCGAAUAUCAUCAUCCAGGGCCCGGUGUGAAUAAUGAGCCAACACUUCCUGCAAGGGGAAAGGAAAAUGAAGGUUACUGACAAAGUCAAGGUUCAUACCAAAUGGACCCAAUGGGAUGAGGAACUCUUAGCCUUGGAGUCCUAACUGAAGUCAGCACGUAAGUCCUUUAAGGAGAUUCUUAAGGGAAACUUCCCCGUGGGGGAAGCAAGGCAGGCAAAAGAGCUACAGUUAAGAUCUAAAUAGGAAAGAUGUUAGGAAUGAAGAGGGUACUUUGAGGCUUUCAGGAUUCACAACCUGGUAACUAUAGGCCUGCUUAUGUCUAACAUAACAGCCACCUCGAAAUAGUCCUUCUGCAAGACUCCUCUCACAGACAGGGUCUCUUACCUGCCGAGAGCACUGUCUCUCCCUCAUGGCCUUAAGGCUGCCAUUCCAGUGCAGCAGCUGAAAAACUGUCAUUAGUUCCUGGAGGAAGAAGACAUGAAGUGCCAGAACAGUGAUUUAUAUUGAGGGUUUGCAUCACAAUUACAUGGGGGACCUUUUACAGAAUGUAUUUACGUAAGCAUCUCUUUUUUUUUUUUUUUAAUUUUUUUUUCAAUGUUUAUUUAUUUUUGGGACAGAGAGAGAAAGAGCAUGAACGGGGGAGGGGCAGAGAGAGAGGGAGACAGAAUCGGAAACAGGCUCCAGGCUCUGAGCCAUCAGCCCAGAGCCCGACGCGGGGCUCGAACUCACAGACCGCGAGAUCGUGACCUGGCUGAAGUCGGACGCUUAACCGACUGCGCCACCCAGGCGCCCCUAUAAGCAUCUCUUAUACCAACUCUGAUGUGCCCUUCAGGGAAGGAAGGUAUUUAUAUAUUGAAAAAUAUUCUAACCUUCUCUCCCUUCCCUUCCAACUGAUGAUCAAUGAGUUAGGGAUUAGAAGGAAAUAUAAUUAAUAUAAUAUAAUAUAAUAUAAUAUAAUAUAAUAUAAAUGCAGGUUGAUCCAUGUUAUGAGAGCCAUAGUACCUGGAACUCCAACAUUGACUUGCCCUUGUUGGAUUCCAGCAUGAAUCGGAAGGCACCAAUCCCUGUGUUUGGGUUGUCAGCUUCCUCCCUGUUGCCCUGUAACAGAGGAAAGGAAAAGACAAAUAGAUUUUCAAUCAGGAUUAUCACCUCAAGCAGCACUGUCCUGUAGAAAUAUAACGCAAGCCCCCAAUCUAAUGUAACAUUUUCUAGUUGCCACGUUAAAGUAAAAAUAAACAGGUAAAAUUAAUGUAAAUAGCAUGUUUUAUUUAAGCUAAUAUAUUCAAAAUAUAAUUUAGCUAUACUUAGCAUAAAAAUUUUUCAUGAAAUUUUUACAUUCUUUUUCUUAUACCAGGGUUUCAAAAUCUGAAGUCUCUUCCACAUUUACAGCACAUCUCGAUUCAUACUAGCCACAUAUCAGGUGUUUAACAGCUACAUGUGGCUGGUGGCUAUUCUGCUGGUCAGCAUAGACCUAGAAGACUCCAAAGUCAUCACACAUAUUAACUCAAGUGACAGAGGUCAAUCUGAUUUUCCCUAUCUUACAAAGAGGGAACACUGAAACAUAGAGAAGAACCCCGAUUUAGCCAAAAUAACAGAGUGAGUCCAACACACAGGAUUGGACUAGCCUAGAGGAUAAUUGGGCAAAUGCAUUUUCAAGGGAAACAGUAGGAGCCAUAAAGCAUAGUAAAUUCUGGGUAGCAGUUUGGCCUCUUAGACAUUUGGCUUGUGUGUUCUAGUGGUUACAUGACCCUGUGGGGAUAGAACUAAGAUUCAUUGCCUGUGCAAACAAACAAUACGGUAUAGACUGGAUCUCCUACUAAUCUUGAGGCCUUGGGGAAGUCAUUUAACCUCUCUGUUCCUGUUUCCUCAUCUGUAAAAUGGGAAUAAUCACAGAUCUAUCUCCUAAGAUUGUUUUGAGAAUUAAAUAAGAAAUUAUUUAAAAAGGGAUAAAUGUGGUUUUAAAACUCCAAUUAUAUAAAAUGUGGUACAUUAUUAUACUAGACUUGGUAUCCAGUUACACAAUCCAAAUCCAUUCUGGUACUGGCUUUGGUUUAGUGGUACUUGAUGGUGGUUUAGUAUUACUGGGGAUAAUUCCAGACCCUGGGGCUGGCUGGGACUUCCAAAAUAAGGGUAGCUGCUAUUUUUUUUUGGUGACCUUUUUGUCAGCCUGAUCUAGGAAAAUAAAACCAGGAGACUUCUGGGAACACAGGAACCCAACUUUCUCCUUCUACUUCCUGACAAGUUGCCUGAUCUUUCUAGCCCAUUCUGCACCACCGUCCCUGCUCCACGCCUCCCAAGAUUCUGCUCUCUUUGAGAAAGGGGACUAGGUAGAAGUGAGGAGCCAAUCAAGUUAUAUCCAAAUUCAGUUUAUUAUGGGGCACUUCUCCAUGGGGCUGUACUGUAUAUGUAUUAUAAUAAUUCCAUGUGCUUAGUAAGUAUACCAUAUGUGCUGGCUUAUUUGUUUUCACUCUGCUAGAAUCAACAAGAAGUCACACAAGAUCAACCCAUAUUAUUUUGUGGCUUCUGAGAAGCAACAUGCCAACCAGUAGUUAAUCUUCAUGGUGAAGCAAAGAACACAAAAUUUGGAUUUAAAAAAGAAAAGCUACAGAGAGGAAGGAAAAAGGUAACCUUCACUAUUAGCAUUUAGGGCCCUGAAGCAAUUAACCUGUUUCAUGGUUGCCUAUAAUCAUUCAAUAUGGUACCUUAUUCAGUACCUCCAGAGUUUUCCAUGAUAUAGUACAUAGAAAGUAAUGAUUAUCUCUGUACAGCCAACUGGGGUAUACAGAAGAAGCUGCGGGCAGAGGAGCCCAUCUAUCCCAGGCCUUGCUCUUGGACAGAGCAUGAGCAGCGGAGGGGCAGAGAAAGAGAGGGAGACACAGAAUCUGAAGCAGGCUCCAGGCUCUGAACUGUCAGCACAGAGCCCGAGGCGGGGCUCGAACUCACAAGCCAUGAGAUCAUGACCUGAACCGAAGUCAGACCCCCAACUGACUGAGCCACCCAGGUGCCCUGAAAUCAAUGUGAUUUGGAGUAUGGCGAUUCCACUGGGAAAUUAAUGAGCAAUCUAUUAAAUUCUCAGUUUUGAGGGGUUAGGCAAAUAGAAAUAUUGGCAGAGAAUAAAAACAAUUUGUUUCCUAAACACUUUGUAGUAGACACUGCUGGUGACUUAGCCGACAUCUGUUUCCUUCUUCCUUACUAUAGAACCUUAAUCUUGUUCUACUACCUACCAUCUCCCAUGUAUCUCCCUCAGGGAAGAGUGAUUUUAUCCUCUAAUUUCAGUGGGUAAAUCCUAACCCAUUUUGCUUGUAAUUGGUUUUAAGGUGGGAAUUCUGGCCAUUAGGAAGUAGAAGGGAGGUCUACUGGCGGGUUUCUGGGAGAAGAUUCCUUACUACUAAAGAGGUACUAAAAGAAGGUCUCAGGGCACCUGACUGGCUCAGUUGGUAGAGCAUGCAACUCAAUCUCAGGGUCUUGAGUUCAAGCCCCACAUUGGGUGUGGAGCCUACCUACUUAAGAAAGAAAGAGAGAAAGAAAGAUGGUGUCUUUCUGUCUUUGAAUAUGGUUACAUCUGUAUUUAAUAUCUGAAAUUCUGUAGUCAUCUUGCACCCUUGCAUCUGAAGGGAGCCAGCUCAAGGACAAAGACAGUAUCUAGAGGAUGGCUGAAUGGAGAGAUGGAAAGAAUUUGGCUAGUAGAUGAUGACAUUCUUGAUCCAUGGAAUCAACCAGCCUUGAAAUCUUCUCUACUUCUGGACUUCCUGUCAUGUUAGAGAGUAAAUUUCCUUUCUUGGUGUAUUCCCUUAAGUCAGUUUGAAGUAAGAUUUUUCUAUUACUUGCAUCCAAAGGCAUCAAAACAGAUAACACGUGCUAAGUGCUUAAAUAUAUUCUCUUCUAUCCAGUAAUCCUACAGGUAUAAUUGUUACAGAUGAGGAAAUUGAGACUUAGAUUAAGUAACUUGCUCAAAGCCACAUAGCUAGUAGAACCAUAAUUUCAAAAUGAUGAAUUCAGAGUCCAUGCUUAUAAGCAUUGCUUUCUAUAAUCCAAACCAGUGUUUCACUUUAUAAUAUAUUAGGUGACUUAAGAGUGAUAAAUGUACUUUCUUAAUUUAAUUGGCUUUGAUCAAUAUAAAAAAUUGUUUUUAUUCCUUGUAGAUACUUCUGACCAGGGCAAAGAGAAAUGGGAGGAAAUCAGAUGGGUAACAGAGGGAAGCCAACUUAUUAUCUAAAGUGUUCAACACUAACAAAUACACAAACAGAUAACUGAAGUGGUUUAGUAUAUGUAAUUACAUCUUAACUUCAAAGAGAACAGAAACAGAAAAUUGGUCAGACUUUCACCCUAUCACCCUAUCAGUGAACUUGCGGGAAGGAAGAGAGAAGGCAGUGUUCAUUUCCAGGAUGCACCCCUAAGCUAGAAAAUUCUGAGUCAACUUGGGUUCCAGUCUUGGCUCUACCACUUUCUAUCUACAUCCCUUCAGGCAAAAUUUCACUUCUAUGUUUUUAGUUUCCUUAUCUGUAAAACAGGGGUACUAAUAGUUCUUAUAUCUCAGAGCAUUAUGGUGAUGAUCAAAUGACAUAAAAUACACAUAAAUCCCCUGGAACAGUCCCUGACACAAAGUAAAUACUCAAUUAGGAUUAGCUGUGGUUAUCAUCAUCAUCAUCAUCAUCAUCAUCAUCAUUUGAAGGAACAUUCUUUUGAAAGAGAGUAAAAAAAUUACCCACCCCAUUCGUGGAAAGGAAAAAAAUAAAAACUAAGACACUGUAUUAUAAAGUGUUCUUUAUUAAUAGGAGAGGUCACGGAGAUGAAUGGCAAUAAGAAAAGUCAUAAAAAUUAAAAAAAAAAAAAAAAAAAAAAAGAACAGUGAAGUAAGAAGGGAGUAAGGUCUUAAACCAAAAUUGGGAAAAGCAAAAUUCAAGCUCAGGUUUUAUUUUGAAAUAUCUCUAAAAUUCCACAAAUCUUGAAUUAAAGGUUUCUAGAUACCAAGGAGAUACAAUGAAAGAGGCAAAAUACCAACAAAAACAUAAACAUACACAUAGAAUCAGUGAUUGAGACAUAGGGAGCAUGUAAUAUGCAAGAUCGACAGAAAAUAAAUUCCUGUCUAUACAGGAAAGAAAAGAAAUCCCGCUCUGAUUCCCAGUGAUUUACAAGACUUCUCAGCCAGCCAGUUCUCCCAUCCCCCACUUUCUUUUCUUUGAACUCCCUGUAACUUACAUUGAAAGAUGCCAGGGCCUCAGAGACACUCUUCUCAAUGAACUCAUCAGUGAUUCUUCGGGAAGGGUGUUCAUUAAACACAGAAUUCAUCAGUGCAAUCUUUGCAGCACUCCGCCGGGCCUCAGCUUUUGUGGGGCAAAACUAGGCAGGACAGAGAGAGAGAAAAUAUGUAUAUAUGUGUGUCUGAGAGAGAAAGGAAGGAACAGUGGGAGGGAAACAUUAGGAUAGACACUUGGGUAGUCUUUGGAAAAAUCAGUUUGUGCAGUACAUCCUCCAAAGUUUGUUUUGUAAAAUGGUUGAGGCAUUUGGAAACAUAAUUUUGAUUCAACAUCCUGAAGUCAUUAAGGAACUGGAGACGGCUAUAGCUCAUACCAAAUUGAAUGCAGAAUGAGGAAGGCUGCUGAAGUCAGCAUAUAACCACUGGAUAUAAAAAAUACGCCCGUUUCAACUGUCCACAGAAUUAAUUACUCAAAAGCCAGAAUCUGGCCAGCCUGUUAGAAAUUUGUAUCUUGCUCUCCUGUUCCAUGCACAGGCAAGGUUUCUUUUCAUCCCUCUAGAUAAGCUAGGCAUAGAAUAGGUCUUCUCUAGGUUGCUUCUGCACAGGAGGCCUCUAGUCUCUACCAGAAGCGCCCAUCCAGGAUUCUUGGACUUCACUUUUGGCUGUGAGCAGGCAGUUCCCCCACUAACGCAGUGAGUCAAUGAGCUAUCCCUGAGCAGAGACCAAGGUCUGAAGAAGGAAUGUGUAGUCUUUUUCCCCCCAGGGGAAGCAAGGAGGAGAGGGGUAGCAAGGAGAAGGAAAGCUGACCUGAACAAAGCAAGAAAAUAUUAAAAGUUAAUUCAUGUUUUUUACAUUGUCUCCAACAUAGGUAUCAUAGCCCAAGGCUGAUUUUCAGAAGUCUUAAAUCACUCAACCUCAAAUCCCCAUAGUAUUUGUUUAUAUAAUUCAUCAUCACUGGCUGCCUCAAAGGCCUGUGUCUCCUGUCAUUUAUGAUUAGGGUCAGAGGAAAGGAAGAAAGUAAUGUUAUGGCUUUUAAAAGUAGACCAGGAUAUGUUCACUACUUAACCACCUUAAUAUCAAUAACUCCCGAUUUUCUUUAGCUGACAGGUGUCUCUGAGACAGAAUAUGGAGCUUGGUACAUUAACCCUAAGUUGUCUUCUGCAAUUUCUCCAUUCCUACUUCUCUGUUUGCUAGGCUGCUGCUCAUUCUAUAGUAUGGUAUUGUUCCUGAAAGAUCAUCCAUCCAUGAAGAAAACCACCAGGAGAAAUUUCACCUGCCAAAGUGGGUAUAGAAGACAAGCUAAAACAGGCCAAGAUAGAUAGUACUGUUCUUUGGGGGGAAAUAACAGAAAUCAAAUGACUGUAAUGAUCCAAUUAUGGGCAUCACCAUAAAAUUAUCAAAUCUUUAUUCAACAAUAAGAUGAGGUGAGAGAAGGAAGGGGAGAUCUUAUUCUCUAGGAGAGAAAGAAGAAACAUUAGUCGUCCUGAGCAUAUAUUUAUUUCUCUGAAAUUGUUGGGGUUCUGAGGGGAAAAAAAUUAGUCACCUUAUUUGAAAUGAAGCCUCUUCAGGACUUUUCUGUUUGAGGCAGGAACUGAACUGCAAUGGCCCUGUUUCAUGCCACAGAUUUAUUAAAUGUCUACUCUUUGCUGUGUGCUGAGUGGGUGGUAAAGAUCUAAAACUGACUAAGAAGACAGACAUAAUCUCUACCUCCAUGGAGCAUAAUCCACUAGGUGAAAUAAUUAUGAUAUGUCAUGAUAAGUAAUAUGAUAAGGGAAGUUCAAGGUGGCACAUAGCAGGGGUUAUACCUUUGUCUAAGGGUUAUGAACAGAACAAAAUGUCUAUUCUCUAAAUUCCUAUUCAGACUCUAUAUUGACAUCUCAGAAGGCCACCUUCCUAUGGUCGAUGUAAAAAAUCCAUCUUUGAUGAUAACAUUCACACUAGUCAAAUUUCUUCUUACCCUAUAAUAACAACCAGUCUCCAUCAUCAUAUAUCACAGCUCUUUCAUAUAAUUGUAGAAUGCUAGCACUAGAAAGACUUUACAAAUAAUCUAACCUAUCUCCUUCAUCUUAUGGAUGGGGAAACUGAGGCCCAGAGAAUUUACCUGACUUGCCCUGCUGGCGGCGGGAAAGGGGGGCGGNNNNNNNNNNNNNNNNNNNNNNNNNNNNNNNNNNNNNNNNNNNNNNNNNNNNNNNNNNNNNNNNNNNNNNNNNNNNNNNNNNNNNNGGCGGGCAGGGGGGAUGAGAAUUUGGAUCUUCUAAUUCUUAGAUGAAUACUAUUUCCACCAUACAUAAUCCCUCCACUUUGGCCUCUUAAAGAACACAAACAUUGCUUUCUUGAGUAAUUUGCCUAUGAAAAAGUACUGGGGAUAAGGAAUAUUACUCUGUGUUCUCAAAAAGAGAUGACAGGAAGUUGGACAGAUUAGAACAUGGGGCAGGUGCUGGUACUCUGGAUAUACUAAGGGCGUAUUCAUAACUGCUCAAAUUCAAAGUGGGUGUGAGUUUUCGUAGGCUGAAAGAAAAGCCACUGAGGUUCUUUUGUGGUUAAAUGAGCCUCAGAUGCUGACCAGACUGAUCUGCCUAGAAUUGGUUUCAGGUCCUCAAAUACGUGAUUUCUGACAGAGAUUUAAUGGCCAAAGUGAUGGAGAAAACCACCGCUAGCACCUAAGCAUUUCUCCUUGCUACUGCCACCUUGGAACUCUUACCUGGAAGCUCCCAAAGCAACUUCCCCCGGGCAGAGUGACGUAGCAGACAUAAGGAGGGCUGUUGGAGGGAACCAUUUCAUAAACCACCAGAGCCCCGUUCUUCAAGUCUGCCCCACGGGACUGCUUCAUCUGCCAGAAUUCCUGAAGUGCCUCCACCACAUUCACUGCAAAAGAGAAGCAGUUAAGUUCAGCAAUGAGAACACCUCGAAAGUAGUUCUGUGCUUCCAUACAGUAUCUGUAUCCUAUACUGACAUGAAGGGUCUGACCUGCCCUAGCUCCUUACCGCUUAAAAGCAUUUAAACUUAUAAACCUAGACUCUGAUUAAGGCAUUUGCAUAGGAAGACCAGAGGAUGCCUGGCCUCCUACACCACCUCUCUAGUUCACAUUUUGGUUAGUCCUAACACCAAAGCAGAAUAACUUAAAUAUUGGAGGCAGAGUUUCCAGGUCAGCAGACCAUUAUCCCCACCUGAUGAAGUGCAAGUAAUCAUUCCACAAUUGGUCAGGUGGCCUAGAGUAAUAAACACCAGCACGAGAAGUGCGUUCACUGAACGCUUCCUGUGUGUCAUGCACUGCCUUAAGUGCUUUACCUAUUUAAUCACAAAAACCUUAUGAGGCAGGUACUUUUAUUAUCCCCAUUUUACAGAUGAGUGAAAUGAGACAUAGAGAAGUUAAAUGACUUGCCCAAGGGUAUAAUAGCGAGAAAGUAGCAGAGCAAGAAUUCAAACCCACGCUGUCUUGGUUCCAGAGUCAAUGUUCCUAAACCUCAUGUGAUACUGCCACUCAAGGAAAUGUGGUCCUUCUAGCCAUUCUCAAACCUGUGCUUCUGGUGAGCAAACCCAUACCCAGAUUCCUUUUCCAUCUUGGAAUUUUAUAUGUUAUAUAUACACACACACACACACACACACACACACACACACACACACACACACUGUGUGUGUGUGUGUGUGUGUGUGUGUGUGUGUGUGUGUUUGAGCAUGAAUUUCUCUUCUGAGGAUUUCCCUAGGUUUAAGUGGUUUUUGGAGGAACUGUAUAUUGGGAGACUCUCCUUCACAGGUCUCUUGUGGUCCUUUCCAGCUUGCUGGGUAUGCCAAGAUUUCAAGGACUUGGCUGCUCUUUACUUGGGCCAUUUCUCAGGAUUGUGUUUGCAGCAAGAAACCCAAGGGAUGAGGUAACGUCUCCCUCUGGGACAAAGAACAAGCCUGCUUACUGCCUACAAUGACAUGGCAGGUUCCCGCAGCUCAGCAUUCUUCUUCUGUAAUGUGACGUAUGGCUUGUGCAAGCAUCCACCUGAGCCCUUCACGUCAGACUUGGGAGGCAAGGGGAACUGAUGCAAACAAAUCUGAUGCUUAUGCUACCUGUUGUAUUAUGAGCAAAAAGUCCUUUGUCUCUGACCCAGAAGUCUCUUGACUUCUGCCACUUCUAGCAAACAGUAGCCAGCUAAUGUAUUAGGGUAAAAUCAAACCCCAGACUCAAGACUGUGUUCCAGAAUAGUUCCCCUCAUCCCCCCAUAAUUGGGCAAAAUCAUUGUACAAAUAUGUAUGGAGUACCUACUCUGUGUUAGACUAUGUGCUGGAUGCUAGGCUACAACAGUGAACAAAACCAUACCUGUUCCUCUUCCUUAUGCAGUUUACAACCUAAAGAAGAAGUGAGAGGGGUGCCUGGGUCGCUCAGUCAGUUAAGCAUCCAACUCUUGAUUUCGGCUCAGGUCACGGUCUCAUGAUUCAUGGGAUCCAGCCCCACAUCAGGCUUCUGACAGUGUGGAGCCUGAUUGGGAUCCUCUCUCUGCCCCUCCCUACCUCCCCUGCUUGUGUGCUCGCUUGCACAUGCGCAUGCUCUCUCUCUUAAAAUAAAUAAGUAAACUUAAAAAAAAUUAAAAACCCCCUCCAUUAAAAAUAAUAAUAAAACAAAGAGGGAGAGGGGUGCCUGGGUGGCUCAGUCAGUUAAGUGUCUGACUUCGGCUCAGGUCAUGAUCUCGUGGUUUGUGAGUUCAAGCCCCGUGUCGGGUUCUGUGCUGACAACUCAGAGCCUGGAGCCUGCUUCGUAUUCCGUGUCUCCUCCUCUCUCUGCCCCUCCCAUGCUCAUGCUCUGUCUCUCUCUGUGUCUCAAUAAUAAAUAAACGUUAAAAAAAAAAGAGGGAGAGAAAGAGAUUAACCAGAUAUCUCAAGCAAAUGAAAAAUCGCAACUGUGAUCAGUGCUAUAAAGGAGUCUGGUAGAUGGGAAAGGUCAUAGGGACUUCUGACCUCAUGGAGAAGGCCAAAGAAAGCUACCCAGCCAAGGUGAUAUUUAAGUGCAGAUAUGAGUAUGAAUUCACUAGGCAAAAAGGUAAGAGAAAGAGUUCUGAACAGAAGGAAUAACACACACAAAGGGUCUGUAGCAGCAGAGAAGACAGCAAAUAAAGGGACCAGUGUGGCUCAAAAAGUGAGAGCAAGGGAAAGGUUCGUGCAAGAUAAGAUUGCAAAAGGAAGCAGGAACCAGACCAAAGUGGACCUUGCAGGCCACACUAGAGUAACAGCUUUAUCUUAACAGCAGUGGGAAGCCACUGAAGGGCUUAAGACAGAAGGAAGGAUGAGAUCAGUUUUCCUUUGGAAAGAAUCACUUUGACUUCAGGGUUCCAGACAUUUCAAGUGGCUUUAACAAAAGCCUCAUAAUAAUAAAUGAUCAAAUGCCUUCUUCAAUAUCUUCCAACAUGACCACUCUCUACUCUCAGUUACAACAACUCAUUCAUUCUUUUAUAUUGUGUUAGUUUAGGUCUGCCAAGGAGAAGACACCAAGAUGGGAUAAACAUGCAAGAGAUUUAUUGGAAAGGAAGUAGGAGAAGGGAGAGGCUUCAGACCCAGAUUGAAGGUCUGACACCUAUGGAAGGGGGGUGGGAAAGAAGGUCUGGAUAU
rnacentral:lncRNA from 1 species